GCUGGGCAUGGUGUCUCAUGCCUGUAAUCCUAGCACUUCAGGAAGCUGAGGCAGGAGGUUCGCUUGAGCCCAGGAGUCUGAUAUCAGCCUGGACAACAUGGUGAGACCCUGUCUCUA
ensembl:misc_RNA Metazoa_SRP Metazoan signal recognition particle RNA